CUUUCUCAAACUAUAAAAGUGUCACCAAGGAACUGUUUUCUCCAUUGUUAAACUCAAAACAAGCAACAUGUUUAAAUUUUCUUUGGUAAAAGCUGUAAUUGCUYUUAUUGUAAUUACAUCUAUGAUGUCUAUAAUUUCUGCAAAGACGGCGAAACGCGGCGCGAUACCUUAGUUAAAGAAAACAUGUCAUCAGUGUCGUAACAUGUCUUGAAUAAAAAUUUCAAACUA